rnacentral:tRNA from 1 species
ACCUGUCUGGCUCAGUGGGAAGAGCAAAUGACUCUUGAUCUCAGGGUCGUGAGUUCAAGCCCCAUGUUGGGUG